UACGGAGGGUGCAAGCGUUGCUCGGAAUUAUUGGGCGUAAAGGGUAGGUAGGUGGUCUCAUUUGUCUGGGGUGAAAGCCUUGAGCUUAACUCAAGAAGUGCCCCAGAAACGGUGAGACUGGAGUCCUGGAGAGGGUCGUGGAAUUCCUGGUGUAGCGGUGAAAUGCGUAGAGAUCAGGAAGAACACCGGUGGCGAAGGCGCUCUGCUAGGCCGUAACUGACACUGAGGGACGAAAGCUAGGGGAGCGAAUGGG
rnacentral:rRNA from 1 species